ensembl:snRNA U5 U5 spliceosomal RNA
AAGCUUUGAACUUCACUGACGCACAAAUAUUUAGCCUUUUACUAACGAUUUCCGUGGAGGGGAAUGUUGACGAGUUCUUCUUAUUUUUGAAGGCUUUGCUAUGGCAGAGCU